ACUGGGAGGGGGGGGUCCCUCAACCCGGAUUGCGAGAAGGCACAGGCCAGGCUGAGGGACCCCAAGGGUGCACA
rnacentral:pre_miRNA from 1 species